rnacentral:rRNA from 1 species
AUACGGAAGGUCCGGGCGUUAUCCGGAUUUAUUGGGUUUAAAGGGAGCGCAGGCGGAGAUGCAAGCGUGACGUCAAAUUUCGGGGCUCAACCCCGUCUCGCGUCGCGAACUGCGUCCCUUGGUUGCGGGAAGGGGAGGCGGAACUCGUGGUGUAGCGGGGAAAUGCAUAGAUAUCACGAAGAACUCCGAUCGCGAAGGCAGCCUUCCGGCCCGUCAACGACGCUCAUGCUCGAAGGUGCGGGUAUCAAACAGGAUUAGAUACCCUGGUAGUCCACGCCGUAAACGAUGGGCGCUCGUCGUCGGCGGCAGACAGUCGGCGGCCAAGCGAAAGCGAUAAGCGCCCCACCUGGGGAGUACGGUCGCAAGGCUGAAACUCAAAUGAAUUGACGGGG